CUUGCGGAUCAUUUCCUUAUUGCGUUACCAAAUAUCAACAUCAUUCUCCUCAAAAAGUUUCAAAAGAGCAAGAAAGGUAUGUAUCCCCUCAAAAGAGUAUAAGUAGAAUUAGACUUUCACCAUUAUCACCAUCAUCACCAUACACCAUUCAUUCGCCACACAUGCACAUCUUGAUUUGACUUAUUGACUUGUUCUUUUGGAUCCAUGGUUUGACUAUGCAAUAAAUGUCUUGUAAGUAUGUAUUAGCUGUCUCCCACCUAUGAGCUCCAGAUAUCAAAACCUUAUUAGAGUAGGGUGAGAGAGAAGGCAAUGCUACUAUGCCUCAUACCAAAAAUACUACAUACUUUGAGAGAAGGCAUAUACCACUACUGCCUUGGUAAGGAUCCAGAAAUACCAGAAAAGAGAGACUAGAG
rnacentral:lncRNA from 1 species